GUCCUUUUCAGUUCAUAAGCAUAAUGACUGAGUGUUCACGCUGCUGUGUGAGAGGUGUCUCCCUCUAAUCCUUACAGCACUGCCAUAUGACCUGUCUGAUA